rnacentral:rRNA from 1 species
AUUGAACGCUGGCGGCAUGCCUUACACAUGCAAGUCGAACGGUAACGGGCCUUCGGGUGCCGACGAGUGGCGAACGGGUGAGUAAUACAUCGGAACGUGCCCGAUCGUGGGGGAUAACGAGGCGAAAGCUUUGCUAAUACCGCAUACGAUCUACGGAUGAAACCAGGGGACCGCAAGGCCUUGCGCGGACGGAGCGGCCGAUGGCAGAUUAGGUAGUUGGUGGGAUAAAAGCUUACCAAGCCGACGAUCUGUAGCUGGUCUGAGAGGAUGAUCAGCCACACUGGGACUGAGACACGGCCCAGACUCCUACGGGAGGCAGCAGUGGGGAAUUUUGGACAAUGGGCGCAAGCCUGAUCCAGCCAUGCCGCGUGCAGGAUGAAGGCCUUCGGGUUGUAAACUGCUUUUGUACGGAACGAAAAGCCUUCUUUUAAUACAGGAGGGUCAUGACGGUACCGUAAGAAUAAGCACCGGCUAACUACGUG